GCAUAACUGUUUGAACAGAACCUUUACCAAAACUACGGGUACCUACAACAAUUGCCCUUCGGUGAUCUUGUAAUGCGCCGGCAACAAUUUCUGAUGCAGAUGCUGAUCCACCGUUAAUUAACACAACAAUUGGUUUCCCAUUUGCCAGGUCACCAGCUUUGGCAUUAUAUCUUUCACUAUCCCUACUAUAUCUGCCUCGUGUGGAAACAAUUUCACCUUUCUCUAAAAAGGCGUCAGUUACUCGAAUUGCUUGGUUCAGCAGUCCACCUGGAUUGUUUCGUAA
rnacentral:ncRNA from 1 species